CAGUAGCCGCGGGAAUACGAAGGGGGCUAGCGUUGUUCGGAUUUACUGGGCGUAAAGGGCGCGUAGGCGGGCGAUUAAGUCAGAGGUGAAAUCCCAAGGCUCAACCUUGGAACUGCCUUUGAUACUGGUUGUCUCGAGUCCGGGAGAGGUGAGUGGAACUGCGAGUGUAGAGGUGAGAUUCGUAGAUAUUCGCAAGAACACCAGUGGCGAAGGCGGCUCACUGGCCCGGAACUGACGCUGAGGCGCGAAAGCGUGGGGAGCAAACAGGAUUAGAUACCCCUGUAGUCCCUGUCUCUUAUAC
rnacentral:rRNA from 1 species